CAGUGAUCUGUUCAUCUGGCUCAUACGAAUGUUACGGAAGCAAUGCGCAACUUGUUUCACAAGAAGCCGAAGAUGUCUCGUCCGGGAUGCCGUGCCAACCUUAUCUGCAGCUGGAGAUUGCAGGGGCAGGACUAGGCAGCAGAUAAAGGCAUUCUGGCACCACCGAAAAGCUUGCACUCCACGUCUCAACUAUCACCGUCUGGGUUUCAAUCUGAAGGCUGUCACCAGUGCCAACCAGACGCCCCUUCAAAGUUCAUCUGUUUUUGUUGACGGAACAGUGACACCUGGUAAACCUGUCACGCAGAUGCCCUACCCCUUGGUAUGCAUAGUUCAAGAUUGUACCGAAACAAUCCACCUGGAGCAUUAUUCUUCAAUUGGCAGUGGCAUUACUAUCACAACACACCACAUACUUCAUGUGUAUGGUGCGUGUACAAUGCAUCAAACCUAUUCUCAUGUACAGACCAGCUGGUACGCAACUACAACAUGAAACAACUGACACAGAGACCGUAAAGUCAUGCCUUUUCCUCCGCGCCUCGGGUUUCAUGUUAUUAUCCUCACAUGCAGCUCAAUUCGCCUGUGCUGUGCAGCAUGAGCAAAAGCAUAUAUUGUUUGUGGUCACAUGACACGGA